rnacentral:rRNA from 1 species
CUACGGGGCGCAGCAGUGAGGAAUUUUGCGCAAUGGGCGAAAGCCUGACGCAGCAACGCCGCGUGAGUGAUGAAGGCCUUCGGGUCGUAAAGCUCUGUCAAGUGGGAAGAACCUAUGUAAUGUUAAUAUCAUUAUAUACUGACGGUACCACUGAAGGAAGCACCGGCUAGCUCCGUGCCAGCAGCCGCGGUAAUACGGGGGGUGCAAGCGUUAUUCGGAAUCAUUGGGCGUAAAGGGCACGUAGGCGGCCUGGUAAGUCAGAGGUGAAAGCCCGGGGCUUAACCCCGGAAGUGCAUUUGAUACUGUCAGGCUUGAGUAUGGGAGAGGGAAGUGGAAUUCCUGGUGUAGAGGUGAAAUUCGUAGAUAUCAGGAGGAACACCGGUGGCGAAGGCGACUUCCUGGACCAAUACUGACGCUGAGGUGCGAAGGCGUGGGUAGCAAACAGGAUUAGAUACCCUCGUAGUC